rnacentral:rRNA from 1 species
UGUUGCAAGGCGAACGAGGGGAAGUGAAACAUCUCAGUACCCUUAGGAAAAGAAAUCAAUUGAGAUUCCCUCAGUAGCGGCGAGCGAACGGGGAUCAGCCCAUUAAGUUAUGUGUGUUUUAGUGGAACGCUCUGGGAAGUGCGAACGUAGAGGGUGAUAUUCCCGUACACGAAAGGGCACACAUAAUGAUGACGAGUAGGGCGAGGCACGUGAAACCUUGUCUGAAUAUGGGGGGACCAUCCUCCAAGGCUAAAUACUCCUGACUGACCGAUAGUGAACCAGUACCGUGAGGGAAAGGCGAAAAGAACCCCUGUGAGGGGAGUGAAAUAGAUCCUGAAACCGCAUGCAUACAAGCAGUGGGAGCACCUUCGUGGUGUGACUGCGUACCUUUUGUAUAAUGGGUCAGCGACUUAUAUUCAGUAGCGAGGUUAACCGUAUAGGGGAGCCGUAGAGAAAUCGAGUCUUAAUAGGGCGUUUAGUUGCUGGGUAUAGACCCGAAACCAGGCGAUCUAUCCAUGAGCAGGUUGAAGGUUGGGUAACACUAACUGGAGGACCGAACCCACUGUCGUUGAAAAGCCAGGGGAUGACUUGUGGAUAGGGGUGAAAGGCUAAUCAAGCCUGGUGAUAGCUGGUUCUCCCCGAAAGCUAUUUAGGUAGUGCCUCGGACGAAUACCAUAGGGGGUAGAGCACUGUUUCGGCUAGGGGGUCAUCCCGACUUACCAAACCGAUGCAAACUCCGAAUACCUAUGAGUACUAUCCGGGAGACAGACUGCGGGUGCUAACGUCCGUAGUCAAGAGGAAAACAAUCCAGACCGCCAGCUAAGGCCCCAAAAUCAUAGUUAAGUGGGAAACGAUGUGGGAAGGCAUAGACAGCUAGGAGGUUGGCUUAGAAGCAGCCACCCUUUAAAGAAAGCGUAAUAGCUCACUAGUCGAGUCGGCCUGCGCGGAAGAUGUAACGGGGCUAAAACUAUGUGCCGAAGCUGCGGAUGUAUACUUUGUAUACGUGGUAGGGGAGCGUUCUGUAAGCCGAUGAAGGUGUGUUGAGAAGCAUGCUGGAGGUAUCAGAAGUGCGAAUGCUGACGUGAGUAACGACAAAACGGGUGAAAAACCCGUUCGCCGAAAGACCAAGGGUUCCAGUCCAACGUUAAUCGGGGCUGGGUGAGUCGACCCCUAAGGCGAGGCCGAAAGGCGUAGUCGAUGGGAAAAUGGUUAAUAUUCCAUUACUUCUGUGUAAUGCGAUGAGAGGACGGAGAAGGCUAAAUCAGCCUGGCGUUGGUUGUCCAGGUGAAAGGAUGUAGGCAUGUAUCUUAGGCAAAUCCGGGGUACUCUAUGCUGAGAUCUGAUAGCAAGCUGUACUUGUACAGCGAAGUGGUUGAUGCCAUGCUUCCAGGAAAAGUCUCUAAGCUUCAGUUACACAGGAAUCGUACCCGAAACCGACACAGGUGGUCAGGUCGAGUAGACCAAGGCGCUUGAGAGAACUCUGCUGAAGGAACUAGGCAAAAUGGUACCGUAACUUCGGGAGAAGGUACGCUGUUGUUGGUGAUGGAACUCGCUUCCUGAGCUGACGACAGCCGCAGAAACCAGGCCGCUGCAACUGUUUAUUAAAAACAUAGCACUCUGCAAACACGAAAGUGGACGUAUAGGGUGUGAUGCCUGCCCGGUGCUGGAAGGUUAAUUGAUGGGGUUAGCGUAAGCGAAGCUCUUGAUCGAAGCCCCAGUAAACGGCGGCCGUAACUAUAACGGUCCUAAGGUAGCGAAAUUCCUUGUCGGGUAAGUUCCGACCUGCACGAAUGGCAUAAUGAUGGCGGCGCUGUCUCCAGCAGAGGCUCAGUGAAAUCGAAAUCGCUGUGAAGAUGCAGUGUACCCGCGGCUAGACGGAAAGACCCCGUGAACCUUUACUGCAGCUUGACACUGAACUUUGACCUUACUUGUGUAGGAUAGGUGGGAGGCUUUGAAGCUGGAACGCUAGUUCCAGUGGAGCCGUCCUUGAAAUACCACCCUGGUAAUGUUGAGGUUCUAACUCUGUCCCGUGAUCCGGGACGAGGACCGUGUCUGGUGGGUAGUUUGACUGGGGCGGUCUCCUCCUAAAGAGUAACGGAGGAGUACGAAGGUGCGCUCAGCGUGGUCGGAAAUCACGCGUAGAGUAUAAAGGCAAAAGCGCGCUUAACUGCGAGACCCACAAGUCGAGCAGGUACGAAAGUAGGUCUUAGUGAUCCGGUGGUUCUGUAUGGAAGGGCCAUCGCUCAACGGAUAAAAGGUACUCUGGGGAUAACAGGCUGAUACCGCCCAAGAGUUCAUAUCGACGGCGGUGUUUGGCACCUCGAUGUCGGCUCAUCUCAUCCUGGGGCUGAAGCAGGUCCCAAGGGUAUGGCUGUUCGCCAUUUAAAGAGGUACGCGAGCUGGGUUUAGAACGUCGUGAGACAGUUCGGUCCCUAUCUACCGUGGGCGCUGGAAAUUUGAGAGGAUCUGCUCCUAGUACGAGAGGACCAGAGUGGACGAACCUCUGGUGUACCGGUUGUGACGCCAGUCGCAUCGCCGGGUAGCUAUGUUCGGAAGGGAUAACCGCUGAAAGCAUCUAAGCGGGAAGCCUACCUCAAGAUAAGAUUUCCCUAGGACUUUAUGUCCUCUAAAGAGCCGUUCGAGACUAGGACGUUGAUAGGUUGGAUGUGGAAGCAUAGUGAUAUGUGAAGCUGACCAAUACUAAUUGCUCGUGAGGCUUGACUAUACAACACCCAAGCAGUUG